ensembl:lncRNA
CCGAGACAACGAGAUUGCAGCAGAGAGAAGGUUUAAUCACAAGCCAGCCAAGUGAUAAAAUGGGAGAAUGAGUCUCAAAUCUGCUUCCCUGAAAAUAAGGACUCAGGGAUAUUUAUAGGGUGGCAGGGCAAGGUGGUCUGAAAUGUGGAGAGAGGUGAUUGGAGGUGAGGAGAGGUGAGGUAAUUGAUGAUCUGCGCAAGCGUAGUCAGACUUCAUGCCUCUUCACAGGACGCAUGUUCACAAAAUGGCAGUGUUAGCACGAUCUGAGGGGGGAGUUUUUAGUCUAUUGUCAGAAGGUCGCCUAUCGGACAUCUGCGUGGGCCUGGUUGAUGAGUUGGUGGUCUCAACCAGCCUGAAGUGGACCAGGAGUUCUAAUUCCUGAGAAACAGCUCACAUACCCAUUACCAUGGUGACUCAGGCUCCAGGGAGAUGUUAUCUAUAGGCGCCUAGUGGGAGUCAGAUAGCAUAGUGCCUAAGCAGCACAGUCAACAAUGGCUAAAGGCUAUAAUCAGUAAUUGCAAAAAAGGAAAAAAACUUUAGUUCCUAGGUACUUAAUCAUCAACCGCUGUUUACCGUUUAAGCGUUAUUACCCCCACUUUAAAGAGAACGAAACAGAGGCAGGAUGGGGAAGCCUCUUGUUAAGGAGUCCACACUCAGUACACUGCAAAGCAGGUACCCUGAGUGCCGGCUCCUCCAUCCAAACCCAAUGGCUAGACUUUCCCAUGUGUAGACUACAGCUGGAAAGGAUCUUGGAGGACACAUUUUAGGUCAACCUUCUCGGUGCGAAGACCCCCGACAGGCGAAGCGAUCUGCCCAGGGGUAGGCGGCGAGCGCGUGACAGGCUGCGAGGGGAACCUGAGACGCCCCAGUUUCUCCCUUCCCUUGCUGGCCUCUUGCUCACCCGCAGGGUGCGGGGGAGGCUGGAGGAGGAGCUGAGCAGAAUUGCGGCGGCGGCCGGGGGCCGGGGCUUUUGGGGCGGUCCCUGGCGGCCGCUUGUCCCAGAGCCCUUGGAGGGGAGCGCGCGCGUGCUGGCCUCUCCUGCGCGCUCCCGCCUCCCCGGGGCUCCGAGGAACCCGGGCACGUUCCGGACGGAGACUGCAGAGCUGGGGGUUGCUUCCCGCUGCCAGAGGCCGUGCCGUCCCUGGGACGUGGAGAAGCGCUCGAGCCGUCUCCGCCCCAGGAACUUUCCGCAGACUCAGCGCGAUCUGUCUGCGGAGGGAACCCCAGGUUUUAAAGGCAGUUCUACGAAACCGAGAGUGAAGCAGCAUGGAUGCCGUCAGCCAGGUCCCCGUGGAAGUCGUGCUCCCCAAGCACAUUCUGGAUAUCUGGGUUAUUGUCCUCAUCAUCCUGGCCACCAUUGUCAUCAUGACCUCGUUGUUGCUGUGCCCAGCCACUGCUGUCAUCAUCUAUCGCAUGCGGACUCAUCCUGUCCUCAAUGGGGCUGUCUGAGAACCUCCCAGGAGGGGCAGGUGUGCAACGACAGCUAAAAGAUGAAAUUGGGACACAAACACAGAAAAAUCCUCUAAUUCUCCAGCCUCCACCAUCAACACAAGACCACAGCAUCCCACUGACAGAGGAAUUUGAGCCUGUGGCGCAUUGAAGGUGAUGAUAACAACAACAAAAUCCAAUUGCAGAUCAACUCCUGGCCAGAUUGACUCAACCCUUCACAUGAAUGAUCUGAGAUAAGAAGAGACGUGUCCAUUUCCAGGCUUAAAUUUUAUUUAUUUCAGUCUCUAUUGUUUUACACAUUAUAUCCAGCAUUGAAUUAAAAGUUACGUGAUACAAAAAAGCAGAAAAAAAAUACAUUGCCAAGAGAGAAAGCACCCAACAAAGCCAGACUCAAGAGAUAACCCACAUGGUGGAAUUUUUAGAGACUAUGAAAAACUACGAUUAAUAUUUCAAAGUGGAAAAGACAGACAGCAGCAUGAACAGAUCAGGAAUUUUAGUAUAUACAUGGAAACUGCAAGAAAGAGUGAAAUAGAAAUUCUAUAAAUGAAAAGCCCAACAUCAGAGAUAAGACUUCCUUUGUCAGAAUCAUCAGUAGUCUUGACACAGCUGAGGUAAUAAUCUGUGAGCCUGAAAAAUAAGUCAUUAAAAAUGAUUCAAACUGAAAAACAAAAAAUAGUGAAAAAAAGAACUCAGCAUGCAAGAACUCUGGUACAAUAUCAAACAGGCUAACAUAAAUGUAGCUGGUGUCCCACCGGGAGAAGAAAGUAGAGAACAAGGCAGAAGAAAUAUUUGAAGAGAUGGUGACUGAGAAUUUUCCAAAAAUCAUGAAAGAUAGCAAGCCAAAGGUCCAAAUUUGGAAAAACCCCAGGCAGAAUAAAUACUGAGCAAUAUUGACAACAAAAACCCAAAUAAUAAACCAAAUAAACAACAACCCCAAUAAACAACAACCCCAUCCACAAAUCUAAACUCAUCAUAUUUGAACUGCUGAAAAUCAAAGAGAAAGAGAAAUCUUGAUAACAUCCAGAAGAAAAAAAACCCACGUUAAAUACAGAGGAAUAAAGAUAAGAAAUACAUCAGACUUCCUGUCAGAAACCACAAGCUGGAAGACCAUGGUAUGUCCUAUUGGUUCUGUUUCUCUGGAGAACCCUGACUGAUGCAAUGACAAAGGAGGACAAAAUAACAUUUUUUGGGGAAUGGACUCGUAUGGGCGUCACUGCGGGAGAAUUCAUCACCCUAACAGUUGGAGACAACGCACCCGCAGCGUGCCAGGAUGACCAAUGUGGAAAAAGAAGAAGAUCUGCCAGCAUAUCUGUUUUCUCCAGAGCACUGCCAUAUCCUGAUUUAAGGCGCAAAAUUAAAACAGGCUUUGAGAAGUUUUAGAAGAUUGGAAUGUGUCCCUGUGGCUUAACUCAGCACAGAUCAUGAAGAUCCGUGGAGAAAGGCACCCAAAUCAGGUCAGAAUCAGGAGACCCCACAUCAUCCCUGAGAUCUUUAAGGUCAUCUCUUCUGAUUAUGCUUAGAGGGGUGAGGACGAAUCCAGCAGUCCUCGCAGAUGUACUGUACACACUCUUGCAGUCACGAAACCUACAGUGCCUGACAAAGGGGCAGCAGCAGGAGUGGCAGAGAUAACAAUAGGAGCCACAGCAGGUGCUGUGGAUACUCAGGACAGAUCGACUCAACACCGGCAGGAGCAGCCUUCAUGGAUCCAGGAGGAAGCAGAGCCGUCAUGCCCAGGGCGGGUGCUUCCGGCGUGUCCCCACUAUGAGGUGAGGACUUAACAUGUUUGUAAGCAAGUAAUUCCCUCACGUCAGCAGGAGCUGCCAGUCUCUCUCCAGAGGGCAGCAUGUGUAUGGUGCUCGCAGGAGCAGAGACGACUGACAAGCCUGUUUCAGAAACAGCUGAAGUUCCAGUAGCGGGACCCCUCAUCUCAAGUGUGCAGACUGAAAGCUGCAUUAUUAAACAGGAAGGAAGCCAGAAGGUCUCCAAACCAGUGCUGAAGCCUAGAAGGAAAGACAGGAAAAUGACAGAACUCCCGAGAGAGGGCAUUCCCGUCACCAUCGUGUCCACUGGAGAGGACAAAUCAACCCUAACAUCGUCCUUCUGCUGGUCUGUAGCCUGCUGUGGAACCACUAGGGGUGGAAAAGAAGGAAAAAGUCUGGAGCAGCCCAGGAAGCAGAGGACACCACUCCUUCUUCCAUGGGAAAGAAACACAUCAGCUUUAGCUCCACCGCAGAGGAGUCUGGGUUUUUAGAUUUUCCCUUUUUCACUGGAUUUAAGCUGUUUGAUUAUGGUGCGACUUUGUGUAGUUUUCUUCAGGAUACUUAUGCUGUGGGUUCGUUGAGCUUUUUAGAUCUGUGAGUUUGUACUAUUCAUCAAAUCUGGGAAGUUUUCAGCCAGAAUUUUUUCAAAAAAAUCUUAGCGCUAUCUCAAUACAAUGCACAACAGCUAAUCUACAAGCAAAGUCAAAGAUGGGUGGGCAAUGCUGAUGAAUACCAGGCAUUUAAUUUGCUCACUUAAGACGUAUCACUCAGACUGAUGCAACAAUGGUGAUUCAUCACGGUGAGCUGCAAAUCCUGAUUACUGACAGCCAUGGUCGGGGAAAAGCCAGAGACAGUGACUAAAGAAGCAGAUGAUUUAUGCUGCUUUGUUUUGAUAUUAAAAAGUGCAUUGCUUUCAGACCUAUUUUUUGAGCUGCUGUAUUGGUUUUAUAGUUUUCCUCCAAACUUCUGCACCCUUUACAGAAAACUGGGAGUUUUUGCAUCAUGAAAAGGGGUUUCUUGGGACACAUGACUUUCAUUACUAAAACCAGGCUAAUCCCAUACAAACUGGGAUGAUUUAUUGCCCCACGGCCAGCUCUCUUGAAGCCUUCCUGGAGAGCACCAAGGUCACCACAGCAUGUUUUCACCCACCGCCCCAAAGUAGAGCUGGUCCCACUAAGGUAAGCAUAUGGAUGUGGAUAGCAGGAAUCGGGGGCCUCACAGGCAGUGGGAGGAGAUCAGUAAAAGAAUCCAGUAAAGGAAGGAGAGAGAGAGAGAGAGAAGCAGCUAGACUAGACUCAAUGGUGAUGAAAUUUUGACCAUAGUAGUGGUUUCCAUUGUGAUUCUGAAAAUAUGAUGACCCUUUCUGUGGAAUUUAUUACUACAGUGACAAGGAAAACUGUCAAUAUCAAUUCCAUUCUCCAGCAGACUUGUAGCCUUCACAGACUUCUAGGAAAAAAAAAAAGAUUAAAAAAUUUUAAAAUAAAUGAAAAGAAUCUAUAUUUUUCAAGAACAAGAGACAGACAGAGUUUGAAUGGGAACAUCAAAAAGCAUCCAGAGAUUUGAAUCAUAUUUCCACCAAUGUUGGACAUAUAAACUGUUAUGGGUGACAAAGACUAUGCAAAUGUGAUAACAGGAGGCCAAAGACUAUAAUAAAAAAGGUCUGUCAGAAUUUACUGUUUGAGAUUGUCAAAACAUGGUAGAAACUCAUUGUACUGAAAUGUCUGUAAUUUUACUUUAAUUAAAAACAACCGUAUUACAAAGAUUGAUGAAGAGUAAGAAGAUGAAGUUACCAAUUUUCAGACCAAAGUCAACUGUGAUGAUUACAUUUCUAGCAAAGACCAUGGAACUUCAGAAGACACAGAGAAGGAAGAGACAGAAAAAAAAGACUUGGCACACAAGUGUGAAUAAUUACUAGAUCUCUGCUACUACAGUUAGCAAGGAAAGUAGAGCACACUCUGAAUUCUUUGCACGUGGUGAGGUCCCACGUUUUGCUGUUGGACCUUUCACCUGCUCCAUUAUGGGAACCAGGUUCCUCCGGGCAGUAGAACCGAGAGUAAGAGCCCUAAAUCAUUCCUCGCUGAAGCCUCACUGAGGGGGGCUGAAGGAUGAGGGUCCAUGAGGGCUUCUCUUGUGCUGAGCAAAUAACAUCUUGUCCCCAACAGAAGGACUGAGAACCACACUCCGUUCAGUACCAAGAUGAAACCAAGAUUCCCAGCUGAAAUAACGCUACCAAACAAUGGUCCUUCCUUCGCGUUCCUACUCACCAAGCUUUCCGUCUCUUUUCUGUACAGAUCAUUUAACUCUUCUAGACAACCGUCUUACUCUUCCAGGUCACCAUCUUUCUCCACCAGGUCCCAACAAUGGACAAACUCAAAUGACAGCCUUCACAUCGCUCCAACCCACUUACUUUUAGAUUUUCCUUGCACCGUGAUGAAGAAAACAAUCACGGGAAUGCAGACCACGGUUAAAAUAAUACUCAAAAUUACCCACAUAAUAUUUCUGUUGAAGAAGGAAAAUAUUGACAUCAGUUCGGGUCUGCAUCUCUGAUUCACCUUCAGGGCAUACAAUGCUAAGUAGGGAGCAAGGCUACAGGCAGCAGGAGAGAGUGUGAAUGAAGGAACGAGUACAUUGGAAACAGUAGACUGGUUCUUGGGAUGCUCUACUUGGAAUCGUGGUGGAGCUGCCCACUAAUCAGUGCCCAGUGGUUUGGCAGACUAAAAGGUGUGGACCUUUCUAUAUCUCAACAGUCUUGAAAGCACACAACACACAGAAGCACCCUUCAUGGUUAAUGUUUUUGGCGAAAUCAGGGAAAAGUGCUGUAUUCUGUAUCUGGAGUAACAUUUUGCAAACUAAUGAAAGCACCUGAGGAAAAACAAAUUGACUAUCAUAUUGAGCUCAUACUAAAAUCCAGAUGCAAGUAGCAAAUUUGAGCUUUAGUUUGUAAACAUGGACAUACUUGGGGGAGGCUGUCGG